GCCGGCCACGUCCCCGCGCCGGGCCUCAGGCUCCUUCCUACUGUCCGAGGGCCACCAGGCCGCCGGGGGCCUGCUGCGCCCGGAUGCGUCUGUUACUAGAGUGGAGAGUCUACCUUCGUCUCACAUGUGCCACAAAGGAUGGCAUGGCCCGGGAGUGCCCCACCACGUGGCUUUCACCCCCUGCAAAGCCAGACUUCGCCCAGCGACACAGUGUCAAGCCCACAGCUCUCCAAGGAGGAAGAUGGUCCAGGCUGGGAGCAUCCCCUUAGCAGCAGCCUCUGGAAGGAGAAGGUCCUUGUCUGUUCCAAGGCAAAGAACUGGACAAGAAGGAGGAGGUUCAUUCAGUACAUUGAGUCUGAUCCUCCCUGCUGUAGCUGGAGCACGGUCCCUGAAGCUGGCUGAAGUGCUAAAGCAGGGGCUAGCAAACUGUGGCCGAAUCCCACCUGCUGCCUGUUUGUAUAAAUAAAGUUUUAUUGGGACAC
rnacentral:lncRNA from 1 species